AACUUGGCAAAUUUUAGUUAACUUCUCUUACCCUCACUGUAAACAAUAUAUAUAGCAAUAUCUAUUUUAUGGGCUUCCUAGGUGGCUCAGUGGUAAAGAAUCUGCCUGCUAAUGUAAGAAAUGCAGAUUCAGUUCCUGGAUUGGGAAGAUCCCCUGGAGAAGGAAAUAGCAAUCUACUCUUGCCUGGGAAAUACCAUGAACAGAGGAGUCUGGCAGGCUACAGUCCAUGGGGUUGCAAAGAGACACAACUGAGCGACUAAACAACAGCAUCCACUUUAUAGACUUGUUAGAAUUACAUGACUAAAUGUAAGUAAAAUACUUUGCACAAAGCCUGACCCAAUGAAAAUGCUUCAUAAAUAGUAGUUGUUGCUGAUGCUAUAUUUGUAGUUAUUAUUACAUUUACCACUCUUAUUUCAGGAAGGGAGCUCAGAAGAAAAUUAUUAUUCAUAGUUGCUAAAUAUUUCUUAGUAAUGAACAAGUCACAUGACUAUCAUAGAGACAAUUAGAAUCAUGAUACCAGUCAUACAUAACCUAUUCAAAAUCUUAAUAUGUCACAGAAGGGAGAAGUUUGAACAAACCAUCCCAAACAAGAAGCAGAAAAUUUGGAACAUACACCCCUGCACCAGAGCAAUCCAUAAACUCAAAAAUUUCUUCAAGGCACCACGAAGCUUAAGGAAACUAAGCAAGGAGAUCAAACCGGUCAGUCCUAAAGAAAAUCAACUCUGAACAUUCAUUGGAAGGACUGAUGCUGAAGCUAAAGCUCUAAUACUUUGGCCACCUGAUGUGAAUUACCGACUCAUUGGAAAAGACCUUAAUGCUGGGAAAGAUCGAACACAGGAGGAGAAGUGGAUGAGGAGGAUGAGACAGUUGGAUGGCAUCACAGAGUCAGUGGACAUGAAUUUGAGCAAGCUCUAGGAGAUGGUGAAGGAAAGGGAAGCCUGGUGUGCUGCAGUCCAUGGGGUCGCAAAGAGUCGGACAUGACUGAGAGACUGAACAACAAAAAUCAGGAAGCUGAAUGAAAACAGAAAGCUUCAUUUUGUGAAUUAGUUUUCUUGAAACACAACAUCCUGCCUACAAUGUCUCCAAGGAGAGAACACUCUUAUCCUGAAGACUUCCUCUUACCUUCCUUUCCUGAAGGAAGAUGGACUAUUCCUUAACAGGCACUGACUCACUUGGGCAGAUGCAGCAGUGAUUUCCUGCAGCAUAUGUCAGCCUUUGCAGAGCUACUCAGACCAAAACAGCAGCCCAGUCCCUGGAGCUGACAUUCAUUUGAUCUCUUUUAAUUUGCCCCCAAAUCAUCAUUACCAGAGUGUGUCUCCCAAAUAACUGAGAACUCCCCACUUGUUUAUCUUGAACUCUGCUUAGCACUUCUAGAAUGAAAAAUAGUAUCUUUAUAUAUGACUAUAAAAUAAUGAGACAUACCUAUUACCCACAAUAAACACACAUUUUCUCCUAAUAACUCA
ensembl:lncRNA